rnacentral:rRNA from 1 species
CAAGCGGUGGAGUAUGUGGUUUAAUUCGAUGCAACGCGAAGAACCUUACCAGGGCUUGACAUCCUGCGAAUCCCUUGGAAACUUGGGAGUGCCUUCGGGAGCGCAGAGACAGGUGGUGCAUGGCUGUCGUCAGCUCGUGUCGUGAGAUGUUGGGUUAAGUCCCGCAACGAGCGCAACCCACGUCGUUAGUUGCCAGCAUUGAGUUGGGCACUCUAGCGAGACCGCCGGUGAUAAACCGGAGGAAGGUGUGGAUGACGUCAAGUCAUCAUGCCCCUUACAUCCUGGGCUACACACGUACUACAAUGCUACGGACAAAGGGCAGCAAACUCGCGAGAGCUAGCAAAUCCCAUAAACCGUGGCUCAGUUCAGAUCGUAGGCUGCAACUCGCCUACGUGAAGGAGGAAUCGCUAGUAAUCGCAGGUCAGCAUACUGCGGUGAAUACGUUCCCGGGCCUUGUACACACCGCCCGUCACACCAUGGAAGUGGCCACGCCCGAAGCCGUUACUCCAACCUUGUGGAGGAGGACGUCGAAG